rnacentral:rRNA from 1 species
UGGGGAAUAUUGGACAAUGGGCGAAAGCCUGAUCCAGCCAUGCCGCGUGAGUGAUGAAGGCCUUAGGGUUGUAAAGCUCUUUCAGUGGGGACGAUAAUGACGGUACCCACAGAAGAAGCCCCGGCUAACUUCGUGCCAGCAGCCGCGGUAAUACGAAGGGGGCUAGCGUUGUUCGGAUUUACUGGGCGUAAAGCGCACGUAGGCGGAUUGUUAAGUGAGGGGUGAAAUCCCAGGGCUCAACCCUGGAACUGCCUUUCAUACUGGCAAUCUUGAGUCCGGAAGAGGGGAGUGGAACUCCUAGUGUAGAGGUGGAAUUCGUAGAUAUUAGGAAGAACACCAGUGGCGAAGGCGGCUCACUGGUCCGGUACUGACGCUGAGGUGCGAAAGCGUGGGGAGCAAACA